UCAUUUAAAGAAAGCGUAAUAGCUCACUGGUCGAGUCGGCCUGCGCGGAAGAUGUAACGGGGCUAAACCAUGCACCGAAGCUGCGGCAGCGACGCUGAUGCGUUGUUGGGUAGGGGAGCGUUCUGUAAGCCUGUGAAGGUGGCCUGUGAGGGUUGCUGGAGGUAUCAGAAGUGCGAAUGCUGACAUAAGUAACGAUAAAGCGGGUGAAAAGCCCGCUCGCCGGAAGACCAAGGGUUCCUGUCCAACGUUAAUCGGGGCAGGGUGAGUCGACCCCUAAGGCGAGGCCGAAAGGCGUAGUCGAUGGGAAACGGGUUAAUAUUCCCGUACUUGGUGUUACUGCGAAGGGGGGACGGAGAAGGCUAUGUUGGCCGGGCGACGGUUGUCCCGGUUUAAGCGUGUAGGUGUGUGUUCCAGGUAAAUCCGGUUCACUUUAACACUGAGGCGUGAUGACGAGGCACUACGGUGCUGAAGCAACAAAUGCCCUGCUUCCAGGAAAAGCCUCUAAGCAUCAGGUAACAUCAAAUCGUACCCCAAACCGACACAGGUGGUCAGGUAGAGAAUACCAAGGCGCUUGAGAGAACUCGGGUGAAGGAACUAGGCAAAAUGGUGCCGUAACU
rnacentral:rRNA from 1 species